CAGUAGCCACGGUAAUACGAAGGGUGCAAGCGUUAAUCGGAAUUACUGGGCGUAAAGCGUGCGUAGGCGGUGAGUUAAGUCUGCUGUGAAAUCCCCGGGCUCAACCUGGGAAUGGCAGUGGAUACUGGCUCGCUAGAGUGUGUCAGAGGAUGGUGGAAUUCCCGGUGUAGCGGUGAAAUGCGUAGAGAUCGGGAGGAACAUCAGUGGCGAAGGCGGCCAUCUGGGACAACACUGACGCUGAGGCACGAAAGCGUGGGGAGCAAACGGGAUUAGAUACCCCGGUAGUCCCUGUCUCUUAUAC
rnacentral:rRNA from 1 species